rnacentral:tRNA from 1 species
GGGUUCGUAGCUCAAGCGGUAGAGCAACGGCCUUUUAAGCCGGCGGUUCCGGGUUCGAGUCCCGGCGGACCCA